rnacentral:lncRNA from 1 species
UCCAAGUGAACCCGCAGGGCUAUUACGUAAUUUGCAAUAGCAAAGCGAUCGCAAAAAUUGUACAAUUUUUGCUUUCAAAUGGCUAAAAACGUCAAAUUCGUAUUACCUAAGAGCAAAAACAAAGCGAUAGCAAAGCAAACGGUUUUUAACACAGUGCUGCCUCUGUCGAACAAUCGGUAAAGUAAAACAGCAUUCAAUCUCUAUAGACACAGCAGAUUUUGGUAUUACGUAUGAGUUUUAAGAGCGAUCGAAUAGCAAUCAGCGAACAAAUACAACUGUCAAAUAGCAAAUGGUAAAUCAUUGAUUGUUGGUCGAUCGCUCGCUGAUCGCUCAGUUCGUAACGCUGUUUAUUAAUAGUUUUAAGUUGAUUAUUAAGGGUUUUUGUUUCAAUUUGUGCCUAUUUGGAUAUGGCUAGUGUAUUUUUAUUGUUAGAAGCUAUGAAUGGGGAAACUAGAAAAGCGUAAGACAUCUACUUUGCGGCGCAAUCUUCGGGAUGAUGCCGAAGCUUUGGAUCUGCCUAAUAAUUAAAUCCCAAGAAUUGUGCGAUGAAUUAAGGCCUUAUAAGUCGCAAACACGCAGGAGAAAUAAAAAUUUGUGUUGAGUGUAAAGUGAGUAAAGCUAUUUUAUUAUUUCUGCUCCUAUAUACAUUGUCUAAAAAUUUAUAAAUAGUCUUUACGAUUACAUUUUCCAUAACAGGUGCUAACAGUACUCUCCUUCACUAUAGGCUCAUAUCAAAAACCUGCAGGUAUGAGCUAGUCACAUGUUCUGAGCCAAGCUAAUGUGUCAAAUUUAGUAAAUAAGGUGAUGAAAGCUCUAAAUUCGAGAGAAAUUUUGAUGAGAUAUAUUUGUUUCCCUCAGUCAUGGCAGCAAAGAAAUAAUGACAUAUAUGGGUAUGGUCCUAAUUAUAUAAAAUUGUAUUUAAUUUAAAGUAAAAUUUACAAACUUCAUUUCUUUCAGUUUUUCAAACAAAUUUGGCUGUGUGGGUUGCAUUGAUUAACAUGCUGAAUAUUUUUUAAUGGAAAGGAUUACCACGGUAUAAAUGUUCAAGUUAUAUGUUACAGUGAUUCAAAUAUAAUUAAUGUGGAUGCAUCAUUUAGUGGGAUGAGUCAUGAUGCAUAUAUCUGGAGAAACUGUGAAAUGCAGGCUCAAUUACAAAACUUACACAGUAGAGGAGAAAGGAUCUGGUUAUUAGGGGACUUGGGGCAUCCAUUAAUAACAUGGCUUUCAAAUCCAAUUGUGAAUGCAGAAAAAGGUUCCGCAGAACAUUAUACCAAUAUUUACUACAACUUCGCCAGGAAUUUGAUUGAGCAUUACAUUGGAAUAUUAAAGCAUGUUGGAAAGUUUGCUAGCCAUAGUGUUGGAUUAUGAUCAUCAUAAUAUGGUAGCAAUAAUUACCAAUGCCUGUGUUGUUUUGUACAUCUGCUACAGACUUAGACUGCUAGUUCCACCUUUGGCAAA